rnacentral:lncRNA from 1 species
UGGACAUCCCAUGACUGAAGCAUGUUUGAAGCAUGUCCCAUGACUCAAGCGUGUCCAAUGGAUGUCACAUGACCUAAGCAUGUCCUUAACAUGUUCCCACGACCGAAGCACGUCCGAAGCACAUCCCAUGUCCUUAACAUGUUCCCAUGCCCCAAGCAUGUCCAGAGGAUGUCCCAUGACUUACACAUGUCCUUAACAUGUUCCCAUGUCCUUAACAUGUUCCAUGCCCCAAACACGUCCUUAACGUGCCCCCACCCCACCCACCGCGUGUCCCACGCCCCACACGCGUCCGCCACGCGUGUCCCGUGUCCGAGGCGUGUCCCAGGCGUGUCCGAGGCGUGUCCCAGGCGUGUUCCAGGCGUGUUCAGGCGUGGCGGGGCAGGGGGUGGCUGACCCGCAGGCAGCCCCAGUAACCAGCCCGCAGGAGGCAGGCGCCCGCCCCGGCCACCAGUAGGGCCCAGGCCGCGUGCAGGGCCCCGAAACGCCGGGCGGCCGCCCACGUGCCCACCUGGGGGGGGACCAGUAUGGACCAGUAAGGGCCCAGUAUGGCCCAGUAACCCAGAAAGGCCCCACCAGUACAUACCAGUAAGGAACGAGG